rnacentral:rRNA from 1 species
UACGUAGGGACCGAGCGUUGUCCGGAUUCAUUGGGCGUAAAGAGCUCGUAGGCGGCCACUCAAGUCGAAUGUGAAACCUCGAGGCUUAACCUCGAGCCUGCAUUCGAUACUGGGCGGCUAGAGUCUGGUAGGGGGGAUCUGGAAUUCCUGGUGUAGCGGUGGAAUGCGCAGAUAUCAGGAGGAACACCGGUGGCGAAGGCGGUUCUCUGGGAAUGUCCUGACGCUGAGGAGCGAAAGUGUGGGGAGCGAACAGG